rnacentral:ncRNA from 2 species
GAAGUUUUUCGGGGCAGGGUGAAAAUCCCGACCGACGGUGAGCAGGUUUCCUGUAAGUCCGUGACCCGCAUUUUGCGGUUGAACCAGUGCGAUUCUGGUACCGACAGUAUAGUCUGGAUGGGAGAAAAACGAG